CGGGGCAGUUAGCAAAUUAGGCUGCGCGUUCGCUUCUGCUAGAGGGCGGGGCCGGAGGUUUCGAUUAGUUGUCUCUGCCGCUGGGGAAGGUAAAGCGGCGACGGCGUCCUCAGGAGCUGUGGGGUCCCCUGCUAGAAGUGGGGGACUCGGCGGGCAUCUCUGAAAUCCAGAUGCGUCUAAACCCUGGGAAUUGUUUAAUACUUCA
rnacentral:lncRNA from 1 species